rnacentral:tRNA from 1 species
GGUUAGCGUGGCCGAGUGGUCUAAGGCGCUUGGUUUUAGGCACCAGUCCCUUCGGGGGCGUGGGUUCGAAUCCCACCGCUGCCA